rnacentral:misc_RNA from 1 species
CUCUCAAGCAUCUUUCGUAUCAAAUCUUUUGCAUUUUCUGAGAUCUUAGGCCAUGGGUCACACUCAAAAUCUAUUUUGCCUUUUAAAAUCUGUCUGAAAAUUCCUGAUUCAGUUUCUGCCCAGAAAGGUGGAACUCCACUUAACAAGAUGUAAAGAAUAACACCUGCACUCCAAACAUCUACUUCAGGUCCAUAACGCUUGAGCAAAACCUCAGGUGCAACAUAAUAAGGACUCCCAACUACAUCAGAGAAAUAUUGACCUGGCUUAUAGAAGACAGAGAGCCCAAAAUCUGUAGCCCUAAGCUUUGCAUCAUCACCAGGGGUAUCGAACAAGAAAUUCUCAGGCUUAAGAUCCCU